UGGGGAAUUUUGGACAAUGGGCGAAAGCCUGAUCCAGCAAUGCCGCGUGUGUGAAGAAGGCCUUCGGGUUGUAAAGCACUUUUGUCCGGAAAGAAAUCCUUGGCUCUAAUACAGUCGGGGGAUGACGGUACCGGAAGAAUAAGCACCGGCUAACUACGUGCCAGCAGCCGCGGUAAUACGUAGGGUGCAAGCGUUAAUCGGAAUUACUGGGCGUAAAGCGUGCGCAGGCGGUUUGCUAAGACCGAUGUGAAAUCCCCGGGCUCAACCUGGGAACUGCAUUGGUGACUGGCAGGCUAGAGUAUGGCAGAGGGGGGUUAGAAUUCCACGUGUAGCAGUGAAAUGCGUAGAGAUGUGGAGGAAUACCGAUGGCG
rnacentral:rRNA from 1 species